rnacentral:rRNA from 1 species
UGUCCCAGCCGCCGCGGUAAUACGAGGGGUGCAAGCGUUAAUCGGAAUUACUGGGCGUAAAGCGUGCGCAGGCGGUUAUGUAAGACAGAGGUGAAAUCCCCGGGCUCAACCUGGGAACUGCCUUUGUGACUGCAUAACUAGAGUACGGUAGAGGGGGAUGGAAUUCCGCGUGUAGCAGUGAAAUGCGUAGAUAUGCGGAGGAACACCGAUGGCGAAGGCAAUCCCCUGGACCUGUACUGACGCUCAUGCACGAAAGCGUGGGGAGCAAACAGGAUUAGAUACCCUGGUAGUCCACGCCCUAAACGAUGUCAACUGGUUGUUGGGUCUUCACUGACUCAGUAACGAAGCUAACGCCUGAAGUUGACCGCCUGGGGAGUACCGCCGCCAGGUUGAAACUCAAAGGAAUUGACCGGGACCCGCACA